AAAAGUAAAACCUCAGCUCUCACUGAGGAGCUUUAUGUGGUGUAGGCUGCUGAUGACCAGCUUUUCCUCAUCCCCUUACAUCCAUGUCUGCUCAAGGGUAACCCUUCUCUACGGGACCACCUUUGUUACUCUUUGAGUUGAAUUAAAUUGUGAGUAGCCAAGACCCAUCUUUCCAUCAAGAAUCAUGUUGGAGUUUCAUUCUGUUCCAGUUGUUAGUCACCAGUCUUGAUCCUUUUCCAAACUACCUCUGCCAGGUGUUGAACCCUCCCUUCCUUGGUGCUAGAUUCCAAGUGUGCCUCAGGAUAGAGGAGAUAAAACAGCAAUACUGUUGGCCUUUGUUGUGGUUUCCAAGUUUAUGCUUUCUCUGUGGGUGCCAGUUUAUUGUGGAGGGUAAGGAAUGUGGCAAGUCUACUGAAUUGAAGUGAAAAUAUAAGAACCAGCAUUUGAGGUGUGUUUCCUCUCAUUUCAACCCCUCAGAGUGCGAAUGACAGGUACUGACGAGUUCAACAUGAAGGUGCAAUGUAGCCUGUCAUUACUCUCAGAAGCCAAGGAAUAAUAAAAUCAGGGUUAAUAUUCAGUGACCCUGGUGCUCUAGAAAUCAUGGCAUGAACUGCUAUAAAAUAUCUUUUCUGGAACAGGACUUAAGGAAUAAAAAAAUAGAGGCUAAUUCCGACAGGGUAAGAUUGAAAUCCACUCAGUGUGAGAUAAACCUUCAGAUUUUCAAGAUUGCCUUAAUGAAUAGCUUGUAUGUCUGAGACUUGAAACAGACUGCCAAAGGAACUGCCAAAGGAACGGAAGAAAGGAUUGAACCUUAUAUUCCUUAUAAUCCUGAGCUCUAGGAUUAUGGUUUUUAUUAUCCCAUUGACCUUCAUUUCUGAUUCUUGUCUAUUCAAUGCAUGACACUAUUGUGGUUCCAAAUUUUUCUUUUCCUCACCUGUGAAGACCGACUUAACUCAUUUCUUUGUUCCCCUUUCCUGCUCUCUUCCCCUGAAUUUAGUCUGUUACAUUCUCCCUAGUCCUGGGGUAGGGGACCUUGCUGUAUAGCUCAUAUUAUCAAUCAGAGUAAAACUUGGCCAAGGUUUAAGCUUACUUUCAAGAGCUGCUCUCCUACUGAAAAUUCCAGAAGGCUGGGUACCUUGCAUUGUUCUCACACACAGUUCAAGUCUUGGGUGCUGUUUCCCAUGUAGAGGAACAUCCCCUGGUUUCUACCGGGGAAUGGGAGAUUUGGGGUUCUGCCAUAAGGGAUUCCUUAUAAGGUAGCUGGGAGGUGUAGAGUCAAGGAAUACACUUCAUGUCAUUUGGUUUUAAUUCUGCCCUCCAGCCGCUGCUUUCAAAAGAUAGAUCUAAAGAUACAAAAUAUGCUUAUUCAUAUAAUGCCUUAAUUAUUGGGUCUACAAUUACUGUUGACUGUUAGAUUGUAAGCUCCCGGAGAGCAGUAUUACUAUAGUAGGAAUGUUUUAACACUGUCAUGUGCUAAAGAACAAAUAAAUAUUUUGAUUUUGUGA